UGAACGCUAGCUACAGGCUUAACACAUGCAAGUCGAGGGGCAUCAGGAAGAAAGCUUGCUUUCUUUGCUGGCGACCGGCGCACGGGUGAGUAACACGUAUCCAACCUGCCCUUUACUCGGGGAUAGCCUUUCGAAAGAAAGAUUAAUACCCGAUAGCAUAAUGAUUCCGCAUGGUUUCAUUAUUAAAGGAUUCCGGUAAAGGAUGGGGAUGCGUUCCAUUAGGUUGUUGGUGAGGUAACGGCCCACCAAGCCUUCGAUGGAUAGGGGUUCUGAGAGGAAGGUCCCCCACAUUGGAACUGAGACACGGUCCAAACUCCUACGGGAGGCAGCAGUGAGGAAUAUUGGUCAAUGGGCGCUAGCCUGAACCAGCCAAGUAGCGUGAAGGAUGAAGGCUCUAUGGGUCGUAAACUUCUUUCAUAUAAGAAUAAAGUGCAGUAUGUAUACUGUUUUGUAUGUAUUAUAUGAAUAAGGAUCGGCUAACUCCGUGCCAGCAGCCGCGGUAAUACGGAGGAUCCGAGCGUUAUCCGGAUUUAUUGGGUUUAAAGGGAGCGUAGGUGGACUGGUAAGUCAGUUGUGAAAGUUUGCGGCUCAACCGUAAAAUUGCAGUUGAUACUGUCAGUCUUGAGUACAGUAGAGGUGGGCGGAAUUCGUGGUGUAGCGGUGAAAUGCUUAGAUAUCACGAAAAACUCCGAUUGCGAAGGCAGCUCACUGGACUGCAACUGACACUGAUGCUCGAAAGUGUGGGUAUCAAACAGGAUUAGAUACCCUGGUAGUCCACACAGUAAACGAUGAAUACUCGCUGUUUGCGAUAUACAGUAAGCGGCCAAGCGAAAGCAUUAAGUAUUCCACCUGGGGAGUACGCCGGCAACGGUGAAACUCAAAGGAAUUGACGGGGGCCCGCACAAGCGGAGGAACAUGUGGUUUAAUUCGAUGAUACGCGAGGAACCUUACCCGGGCUUAAAUUGCAGUGGAAUGAUGUGGAAACAUGUCAGUGAGCAAUCACCGCUGUGAAGGUGCUGCAUGGUUGUCGUCAGCUCGUGCCGUGAGGUGUCGGCUUAAGUGCCAUAACGAGCGCAACCCUUAUCUUUAGUUACUAACAGGUUAUGCUGAGGACUCUAGAGAGACUGCCGUCGUAAGAUGUGAGGAAGGUGGGGAUGACGUCAAAUCAGCACGGCCCUUACGUCCGGGGCUACACACGUGUUACAAUGGGGGGUACAGAAGGCAGCUAGCGGGUGACCGUAUGCUAAUCCCAAAAUCCUCUCUCAGUUCGGAUCGAAGUCUGCAACCCGACUUCGUGAAGCUGGAUUCGCCAGUAAUCGCGCAUCAGCCACGGCGCGGUGAAUACGUUCCCGGGCCUUGUACACACCGCCCGUCAAGCCAUGGGAGCCGGGGGUACCUGAAGUACGUAACCGCAAGGAUCGUCCUAGGGUAAAACUGGUGACUGGGGCU
rnacentral:rRNA from 1 species